ANGANNANGCCAUGCANNUCUANGUAUAGCAUUAUACAGCGAAACUGCGAAUGGCUCAUUAUAUAAGUUAUCGUUUAUUUGAUAGUACCUUACUACUUGGAUAACCGUGGUAAUUCUAGAGCUAAUACAUGCUAAAAAUCCCGACUUCGGAAGGGAUGUAUUUAUUAGAUUAAAAACCAAUGCCCUUCGGGGCUCCUUGGUGAUUCAUGAUAACUUCUCGAAUCGCAUGGCCUUGUGCCGGCGAUGGUUCAUUCAAAUUUCUUCCCUAUCAACUUUCGAUGUUUGGGUAUUGGCCAAACAUGGUUGCAACGGGUAACGGAGGGUUAGGGCUCGACCCCGGAGAAGGAGCCUGAGAAACGGCUACUACAUCCAAGGAAGGCAGCAGGCGCGCAAAUUACCCAAUCCCGACACGGGGAGGUAGUGACAAUAAAUACUGAUACAGGGCUCUUUAGGGUCUUGUAAUUGGAAUGAGUACAAUUUAAAUCUCUUAACGAGGAACAAUUGGAGGGCAAGUCUGGUGCCAGCAGCCGCGGUAAUUCCAGCUCCAAUAGCGUAUAUUAAAGUUGUUGUGGUUAAAAAGCUCGUAGUUGAACCUUGGGCCUGGCUGGCCGGUCCGCCUCACCGCGUGUACUGGUCCGGCCGGGCCUUUCCCUCUGUGGAACCUCAUGCCCUUCACUGGGUGUGGCGGGGAAACAGGACUUUUACUUUGAAAAAAUUAGAGUGCUCCAGGCAGGCCUAUGCUCGAAUACAUUAGCAUGGAAUAAUAGAAUAGGACGUGUGGUUCUAUUUUGUUGGUUUCUAGGACCGCCGUAAUGAUUAAUAGGGACAGUCGGGGGCAUCAGUAUUCAAUUGUCAGAGGUGAAAUUCUUGGAUUUAUUGAAGACUAACUACUGCGAAAGCAUUUGCCAAGGAUGUUUUCAUUAAUCAGGAACGAAAGUUAGGGGAUCGAAGACGAUCAGAUACCGUCGUAGUCUUAACCAUAAACUAUGCCGACUAGGGAUCGGACGGUGUUAUUUUUUGACCCGUUCGGCACCUUACGAGAAAUCAAAGUGCUNGGCUCCAGGNNNNNNNGNNNNANNUGAANUA
rnacentral:rRNA from 1 species